GACAGAGGUCCCGAGCGUUAGGCGGAAUCACUGGGCUUAAAGCGUGUGUAGGCGGACUUCUAAGUACCUUGUGAAAUCCCACGGCUCAACCGUGGAACUGCUUGGUAUACUGGUUGUCUUGGGCCAUCUAGGGGCGAGCGGAACAAACGGUGGAGCGGUGAAAUGCGUAGAUAUCGUUUGGAACGCCAAUGGUGAAAACAGCUCGCUGGGGAUGUGCCGACGCUGAGACACGAAAGCCAGGGGGAGCGAACGGG
rnacentral:rRNA from 1 species